CAAGUAAAUGUCACAUGGCACUUCAUUUUGCAUCUUGAGUGUAUCUGCUCAGCUAUGUUUUUUACCGAUUUUUAAAUGCUUUCCUUCUGAAUGUUUAGAUCGUAGGGGACAGACCAUUUUAAUACAAUGGUUUCAAACAUUUUUAGCUGCAGAACCCUCUCUCAAGUGAGAGCACUAACAUUCAAAUGGAAAACAAAUAGAACUGGGUCACUCUGCUCAGAUCUGAGCUCAAGGGCACCAACCCUGCCAGUUUAUUUCUGUUCCUCACCCUCCCAGAAUUUCCCAGGAAUCCUCGGGAGUCCAUGAGGGCUGGUUCAGAAAUGAUUACCCUGCUCGGUCUUCUCCCUUCACAAUAAACCAGCUCAUAAAUGUUAAACCCCAACUCCUGGACUCCACCACCACUCCAGGGCUUCUCUCUCCGCCUUCUUUGUUCUCUUACCAUAAACACUCAAUUGUUUGUUUGUUUAUUGAAAAUGGUGUCGUUUUUAAUUUAAAAGUAGGUGAAUGAAACAUUUUGUAUUUGAUUAAAAACAAUAGUCCUUAAUAAUGUUGCUUUUUAUUUCUUGGUUCUCCAGUAGUUUUGUUCUUUGCCAGUGGCCCGUAAAUAAAUACAAAACAAACAAGGAAACCCAUUUCUUGUGCCAGCUCAAGAGUAGAACGCAAUUAGACAUGUUCCAUUGUAAGUGAAGCAGCCCAUCCAGAAAGCGUGCCCCUCCUCCUAUCCACGUAGGUUGUUCAAUAUAAUUUCUUUUCUUUAUUAAAUUUACUGGGGUGACAUCGGUUAAUAAGGCUUAAUGUAAUUUCUCUUUGUGUAUGUUUAUAGUUGUUAUUUUACUUUAAAGGCAAAAAUGGCCAGAAAUCUAGAGUAGGACUUUAUUAUACACAUUUUUGUGGGUUUUAUUUGCUGUGCUUAGAAGACACACUAGGUUACUUUUUCAAGUACAUUAGGUAGUCUGCUAGGGCUGCCAUAACAAAAUAUCACUGUGGGUGGCUAAACAGCAGAAAUGUAUUUCCUCACAGUCUGGCGGCUAGAAGUCCAAGAGCGAGAUGCGGCAGGGAUGGUUUCUUUUGAGGACCACAGGGAAAGGGUCUGUUGUAGGGUUUUCCCCAUGACUCGCAGAUGGCCACCCUCUUGCUGCCUCUUCAUGUGGUGGGUCUUUGGUGCACUCAGACCCCUGGUGGUGUUUUUGUGUUCAGAGUUCCUCUUAUGAGGACGCCAGUCAGGUGGAAGGGCCUCAUUUUAAUAACUUAAUUACCUCUUUAAAGGCCUUGCCUCUAAAUACAGUCACACUCUGAGGGCCUGGGGAUUAGGGCUUCAAUGUGUGGAUAUUGGGGGCAGGAGGACACAGUUCAGCCUGUAACUGUCUCUAAAGGUAGAUUGCUUGACUGACCUUAUUCAGGUUUCUGUGUUAGUAGAGAUUAAUAGCAAGAAUUUAGAUACUACUGAGCUCUUCAGGGACCCAGCUGAUCUUUUUGUCUAAUGGAUAAACAAACUCUAUAGACCUUUGUAACAAAUACGGUAUUUUAAAAAACUUUUAUUUCUACAAAGGCAUCUAUAUGCAUGUAAAAGAUAUU